CCCUCCCCGCCCCUCCUUCUAUUCGUCUAUCGUGUGCUUGGGAUAUGCUCAUGCUUUGCACAGAGCAGCCGAAGCACGACUAAUGCAGGCAACUGAGUGUUAACGGCAAUUUUAAAGUGUUGCUUCCCCCCCCCCCCCACACCAAAUAUUACGGCUGGGAUAUUUGAGGGGAACAUACCACAUCACGGCACACACGGAGCCGACUGAACGCCGCGGUUCUUCCUCUGCUUGGGACGCUUUCAUGGUCGAUUGCAGUGAUUUGACUCACCUCGAGGAACGAUGGAGAAGCGGAGCUGUGGAGGACUGCAGGCAGCAGGAAGUAGAGGUCAAGAAGAGAUCUCUGGGAUGUUUCUGUCCAUUGAACCCAAAUGAGGUUGGAUGGAGACCUCGUAAACCAUGACUCAGAAACGAAUGGCAUAACGUGUGGAGUCUUCAGGCUAAAGACGUCAAGGAUAUUCAGCUGAUCUCAGAGGUAAAUGGGCCAUCCUGAUCAUCUGGAGAGGAGCCUGAACCACAUCACACAAGGAGUAUCGAGAUGUCCAUUCAUAACUCCCUUUAGCUCUAUGAGCUUCACUUCACUCGACAACAAUUGAACCUGCACUGUACUCUCCAAUUCUGUGUUAUGGUUAUAUAUAUAUAUAUAUACACUACCAUUCAAAAGUUUGGGGUCAUCCAGACAAUUUCGUGUCUUCCAUGAAAACUCACUUUUAUUUAUCAAAUGAAUUGAAAAUUGAAUAGAAAAUAUAGUCAAGACAUUGACAAGGUUAGAAAUAAUGAUUAAUAUGUGAAGUAUUAAUUUUGUUCUUCAAACUUCAAGCUCAAAGGAAGGCCAGUUGUAUAGCUUAUAUCACCAGCAUAACUGUUUUCAGCUGUGCUAACAUAAUUGCACAAGGGUUUUCAAAUCAGAUAUUAGUCUUCUAAGGCGAUUAGCAAACACAAUGUACCAUUAGAACACUGGAGUGAUAGUUGAUGGAAAUGGGCCUCUAUACACCUCUGAGGAUAUUUCAUUAGAAACCAGACGUUUCCACCUAGAAUAGUCAUUUACCACAUUAACAAUGUAUAGUGUGUAUUUUUGAUUAAUGUUAUCUUUAUUGAAAAAACAGUGCUUUUCUUUGAAAAAUAAAGACAUUUCUAAGUGACCCCAAACUUUUGAACGGUAGUGUAUAUAUAAUACUGUACCGGUCAAACAGACCCAUAAUUUGACAUUGCACUAAUAUAAUUAUUGAUUUAUAUAUUCUUGUACUUUAAACGAGUGAAUAGAAUGAAAAUGUCUUUCAUAUUGAAACUUGUAUUCAUUUCAUGUAAUUGAUUGAGUCUAACAAGUCUAUUUUAUGACAGCUUAAUAAAGGCUUUCUUUUCUUUUAAGUGAUGUUUCAGUGCGAGUUAUUUUCUACUUUCUGCGUAGUGCUUUGGCACUCCAGGUAAAGAACGAUGUGCCUGACAUAAUUGGGUCCUAUUUGGUUCUGAAAAGAGCAUGCAUGCUGAUAAGAGCUAGAAGGGUGAUCAAAGCACCAUGUGUCGCGAUCAAAAUCAUACACCUGACACCGUGAUAGUGUAUCCUGACAGACGAACGAAAUGUGGGGAAACAGGUUCAGACAAUACCAAGAAGCCUCCUUGUUUAA